AAACUUACCUGGCUGGGGGGCUCUCGCGAUCAGGAAGGCGGGACCCCCACGGUGAGGCCCUCGCAUUGCACUUUGGCGAGGGCUGACCUGUGUGGCAGCCUCGGGUUGAGGUUGGCCAACAGCUAAAUUUUUGCGUGUGGGGCUGCGUUCGCGCGGCCCUGA
rfam:Heligmosomoides polygyrus genome assembly, scaffold: HPBE_scaffold0001842